GAUUAGCAGAGAUGCUCUGUACCCCAAUGUCAGUAAAGCUGUUCCGAUUAACACAAGUGCUGAACUGUCGUAUCCUGUUCUGUUGUUCACAGAAGGCUUGUCAGUGGGAUUAAGGAGGUCCUCAAAGCAUUACUUCCACUGCACGACUAAAACCUCAGGAGCAAGAACCACAAAAGGAUGGAAAAGUUGGAGGGAGGGCAGCCAUUACAUUGACAGGCUUCAUUUGGAAUUUGGACUCUGGAGCUGGAGAAACUGCUUUGUAAUUCAGGUAGCAGAACAGAAGCAGGCAGAAAAGAGCAUCUUCCUUCUUUUCCUCCCUUUUUCCAAUCCUCCUUGUAUUUCUUCCUCUUUGUUUCUCAUUGGCUCGUCCUCCCUCCCUUCCUGUCUUUCAACCUUUAUCCCUCCCUCCCUAUCUUCUUUCCUUAUGCCUUUAAUCUUUUCCCCUCUCCCUUCCAUCCUAUGUUUAGCCCCGUCUUCCUUCCUCCCUUUCUCCAUCCCUGUUUCCUCUACUGUCUCUUGUCUUGCCUCCCUUACUGUCUCCAGUCUCUUUUCUCACCUCCUUUCCUGCUCUCCUUUCCUUCCUUCCUUUCUAGCUUCCUCCCCCCUUUCCUGUCAUCCUCCUCCACCUUCUCCCUUGCUUCUUAUCUUGCUGCUACUUAUCUUUGUCCCUCCCUUCCUCCAGGACUUUAUCUUCCUUCCCUCUCUCCCACCUUUCUUUCCUACCACUCCCUAAUUAUUUUCAGCUGUCAGUUUUCUUCCCUUCCUAUUUUCCUCCCAUAUCCCUGUAUUUCUUUUGUUUUUAGUUUAUUUUCUUCCUUUCCUUGCUUUCUUUCUGCUGCAUCUUCCUAUCUUUCCCCCACCUUCCUUCCUGGCAACUUCCUUUCUGCCCUCAUUGCCUUCCUCCUUUCCUUAUCCCUUUCUCCCUUCCUUUCUUUACACCUCCAUCUCACUACCUUCAUAUCUUCUUUGUUAUGUGCCUCCUUACCUCUUUUCCUCUCCUCUUAUGUUCCUACUUUCUUUCUCUGCCUCUGUUUAUCUUCUUUCUUUUCCUUCUUCUUUUUACUCCUCUCUUUCACCCUCCUCCCUUCCUCUAUUGAUCUUUUUUUCUCCCUUCCUUCAUCUCUCUUCCCUUAUUUCCUUCCUUCCAAUCCUUUUUGUAUUUUUUCCUCCUCAUGUUCCUCAUUGGCUCUUUCUCUGCCCCCCCUUCUUUCCUUAUGCCUUAAAUCUUUUCCCCUCUCCCUUCCAUCUUAUGUUUAGCCCCGUUGUCCUUAUCCCUUUCUCCCUUCCUUUCUUUACACCUCCAUCUCUCUGUCUUCAUAUCUUCUUUAUGUCCCUCCUUACCCCUUUUCCUCUCCUCUUUGUUCCUGCUUUGUCCUUCCCUGCCUCCAAACUUUAUCUUCUUUUCCUCCUUCCUUUUAUUCCUCUCUUUCUCCCUCCUCCCUUCCUCCAUCUCUUUUCCUCUUUUUUUCCCCCCUUCUUUCCAAUCCCCCUUGUAUUUCUUCCGCUUUAUGUUCCUCAUUGGCUCUUCCUCCCUCCCUUCCUAUCUUCUUUCCUUAUGCCUUAAAUUUUUUUCCCUCUGUCUUCCAUCCUAUGUUCAACCCUGUCUUCCUUCCUCCCUUUCUCCCUUCCUUUUUAUCUUGCUAUUGAUCUUCCUCCCUUCCGUCCAUUUCUUCUCUCCGUCUUCAUCUGUCUUCAGUCUCUUUUCUCGUCUCUUUCACUCUCUCCAGUCUCUUUUCUCUCCUCCUUUCCUGCUCUCCUUCCCUUCCUUUCGUCCUCCUUUUUUUUUCCUGCUGUCCUCAGCCACCUUCUCCUUUGCUUCUUAUCUUACUACUUCUUAUCUUUGUCCCUCCCUUCCUCCAGGACAUUAUCUUCCAUCCUUCUUUCUCUCAUUGUUUUACUUCCCUCUUUCUCUCCUGUUUUUCCUACCACUCCCUAAUUCAUCCUUCCAUUUUCUUCCCCUUAUUUUUCUGUCUUUAUUUUCUUUUCUUCCUUCCCUUGCUUUUUUCCUCCUGCAGCAUCUUCCUAUCUUCCCUACCUUCCUUUUUGCCACCUUCCUUCCUGCCCUCAUUGUUUUCCUCUCUUCCUUAUCUCUUUCUCCCUUCCCUUCUUUAUACCUCCUUCUCACUGCCUUCAUACCUUCUUUAUGUCCAUCCUUACUCCUUUACCUCUCCUUAUGUUCCUUUGUCCUUCCCUGCCUACAAAGUUUAUCUUCUUUUCCUUCUUUUUAUUCAUCUCUUUCUUCCUCUUCCCUUCCUCCAUCUCUCUUUUUUCCUCUCUUCCCCCAUUUCUCUUUCCUUUUUGUUUCCUUCCUUCAAAUCCUUGUAUUUCUUUCUCUUUAUGUUCCUCGUUGGCUCUUUCUCCUUCCCUUCCCGACCUCCCCCACGUCUUAUUUCCUUAUGCCUUAAAUCUUUUUCACUCUGUCUUCCAUCCUAUGUUAAGCCCUGUUUUCCUUCCUCCCUGUCUCCCUACCUUCCUAUCUUGCUACUGAUCUUCCUCCACUUCCUCCCUCCUUGUCUUCCUCUGUCUCUGUUCUUUUUUUCUUGCCUCCUUCAAUGUCUCCGGUCUCUUUCCUCACCUCCUUUCAUGCUCUCCUUGCCUUCGUUUUUCUUCCUCCCUUUUUCCCUGUUUUCCUCCUGCACCUUCUCCUAUGCUUCCUUUCUUUCUCUCUCCUCCCUUCCUCCAUCUCUUUCCCUUAUUUUUUCCUUCUUUCCAAUCCUCCUUGUAUUUCUUCCUCUUUAUGUUCCUCAUUGGCUCUUCCUCCCUCCCUUCCUAUCUUCUUUCCUUAUGCCUUAAAUCUUUUCCACUGUCUUCCAUCCUAUGUUCAGCCCUGUCUUCCUUCCUCCCUGUCUCCCUACCUUCCUAUUUUGCUACUGAUCUUCCUCCACUUCCUCCCUCCCUGUCUUCCUCUGUCUUCAGUCUCUCUUCUCGCCUCCUUUCAUGCUCUCCUUGUAUUACUUUCUGCCUAGUUUUCUCCCUCCUUUCCUGUCAGUCCCAUAGUUAAAGACCAGGAGGGGCUGUCUCCACGUCCUAGUGGGUCAAAAAGCUUAUCAUCGUUGUAAUUAGGAUCACUGACACACGCAUGAAGGACUACAGAAUCCAUGUUUGCUGACUUCCUGCAGAUGCAGCAGUGUUUACAGGUGGAUGGUGAUAUGAUUGUGACCCGGGCUCCCACUUUCGGUCUUGUGAGGAAGCAAAGUUCAGGAAGAAGGAAUCCCUGCAGUCCUGUUCUUUUAGCUCCAAGCCUGCUCAGCUAGCUUUAAUCCCAGAGGAAGCAGAGCAGACAGUUUGAGGGGUUUGGGCCCACAGAUGGUGACAGCAUUGAAAGACUGUGUUCCUUCCCCUGAAGAUCUGCAGGAGUCACAGAGGAGAUGAGUCCAUCUCACUGUUUGGGCUUUGCUGACUGAUGUUCUUCUGCACUGCAGGAGUGUUCUUAUGAACAUGGAGGGAAAAAAGAUGGAAGAAUCAGAGUUGAACUUCCUGUUUCCUGCUACACAUGCUGAGUGUGAGCUCAGAGGCCAGCUGGUCUGCAGAGUUAGAAGUGAAUCAAGGCCGAGGGCAGUCUGCCUACAGCUUAAAAGAAAGCAUCCAGAUGGGCAGGAUCUCAGCAUCAGACUGAUUAAACAGGUGCCAGCUUCAACAACAGACGGAGACAGCCAACAAAAGGAAACAGCAGCUUCAGUGGGCUCCACAGGUUAAAGGUGAUGUUUCGAGGGGUCUUCAAAGAGGAGGGACUGAUGUCAUGCAUUGAUCACAGUGAUUAUGAAGAUGACAGCAAGAGCAACUAGGACUAUAAAAGUCUGACCAUGACUGUUUUGCUGAUUCCUGAUUAUUAAUGAAUGUUAAUAAGCAUGUUUUUUUUUUCUUGUAUUUAUUUUUUGCUGUCAUUUAUUUACAAACAAAAUUCACCAAACUCAGUUAUUUCAUUUUUACUCACUCAUUUAAUCGCUGAUGACUCAGUGACUUUAUCAAAGCUUUAAGUAGUCCAGGUAGAGCCAGCUUUGAAUAUUAACACUUACCAUAUUGUACCUGUACAGCAUGUUUUCAUACAUGUAUGAUGUAUGAGAUUUUUUUUAAUGUUCAUGUCCUCAUUUAUUUUGUAAUCAGUUUUCUCUUCUUUGUAAUAAUUGUCACUCAGUGUGUAACCGCACCUGCUUCCUUCUUUUCCACACGACUUUGUUUUUCAGUGUCCAGUUGAUUUCUCUUUAUUUAAAUUUGUUUCAUUUUGAUCUGUGUUGUGUGACCCUUGCAGACUAUUUUGUGGACUGCUUACCUUGCUGUGUGUAACCACUGUGUGUUUUUGACUAAAGAUUUGGAUUUUUGACUCUUACCUCGUCUGUAUG